rnacentral:other from 1 species
AAUUCCCUGCAAUUUGAACGAGUCGUUACUAUAAAGAGCCAUCACCAAUCAAAAGGGAGCUUGACUCUGGGCGUGUAUUACAGGCCUCCAACGAGUGGACGUAAAAAACGAACAGGUGAGCACCCACCGUGUCCAACACGGUUCUUUAUAGACAAAGUUUAAUUUGCAGGGAUUUU